rnacentral:rRNA from 1 species
AACGAACGCUGGCGGCAUGCCUAACACAUGCAAGUCGAACGAGACCUUCGGGUCUAGUGGCGCACGGGUGCGUAACGCGUGGGAACCUGCCCUUAGGUUCGGAAUAACUCCCCGAAAGGGGUGCUAAUACCGGAUAAUGUCUUCGGACCAAAGAUUUAUCGCCUUUGGAUGGGCCCGCGUUGGAUUAGCUAGUUGGUAGGGUAAAAGCCUACCAAGGCGACGAUCCAUAGCUGGUCUGAGAGGAUGAUCAGCCACACUGGGACUGAGACACGGCCCAGACUCCUACGGGAUGCAGGAAUGGGGAAUAUUGGAAAAUGGGCGGAAGCCUGAACCAGCAAGGCCGCGUGAGUGAUGGAAGCCUUGAGGUUGUAAAGCUCUUUUACCCGGGAUGAUAAUGACAGUACCGGGAGAAUAAGCUCCGGCUAACUCCGUG